rnacentral:rRNA from 1 species
UACGAAGGGGGCUAGCGUUGCUCGGAAUGACUGGGCGUAAAGGGCGCGUAGGCGGCGAUCACAGUCAGAUGUGAAAUUCCUGGGCUUAACCUGGGGGCUGCAUUUGAUACGUGGUUGCUUGAGUGGGGAAGAGGGUCGUGGAAUUCCCAGUGUAGAGGUGAAAUUCGUAGAUAUUGGGAAGAACACCGGUGGCGAAGGCAAUCCCCUGGGCCUGCACUGACGCUCAUGCACGAAAGCGUGGGGAGCAAACAGG